AGGAGUCAACAUGGAGGGAAACAACUCUGCAGACACCAAGAGCAGCACAAAAGGAUGGGGAGAGGAUGCUCCAGGUGCCAGAGMAGAGGUUUCUCUGCAACCCAUGGAGGACCCCACAUUGGAGAAGGCAACUAUGCACAGAAGGAAGCUGUGACCCUGUAGGAAAUACUGUGUUGGAGCAGAAGAGUCCCUGACCUGGCAGGACCCUGAAGAGAAGACAGGAGUAAAGAUGAGCCCAAGAAGAAAAGAGGUACUCAAAGAAUAUAUCCCACAGAGAUAAGCUGUCUAGACAAGUAAGUGAUGUGGAUACACUUCUCAAAUCAUCAUACUGCCACUGGAAGAUGUAAUGAAAUCCUAGACAAUGUAAGUAGAACAGUCAAGGCAAGUUAGACUAAAUAUUCCCCCCCCCCCCCCCCCCCCCCCCCAAUAAUGGAAUUAGUAACACUGACUUUAAACUACAAGAUCUACUAUUCAUACAAGACUUUGAGAAAUACACAGAAGAGACUAAAGAAAAUGUCAUGAGGUAUGCAUAGAGAGGUCCAGCUAUUGUCCUUACCAAAAAGAAGGUGCCUUAUGCAUGUUUAAAGACCUUAAGAAAAAACAUACUAAAUGAUUAAUCACUGAAAAGCAAAAGAAAGUUAUUUACUGAAAUUUGAA